rnacentral:rRNA from 1 species
CGAACGCUGGCGGCGUGCCUAAUACAUGCACAUUGAGCGCUGAAGGUUGGUACUUGUACCAACUGGAUGAGCAGCGAACGGGUGAGUAACGCGUGGGGAAUCUGCCUUUGAGCGGGGGACAACAUUUGGAAACGAAUGCUAAUACCGCAUAAAAACUUUAAACACAAGUUUUAAGUUUGAAAGAUGCAAUUGCAUCACUCAAAGAUGAUCCCGCGUUGUAUUAGCUAGUUGGUGAGGUAAAGGCUCACCAAGGCGAUGAUACAUAGCCGACCUGAGAGGGUGAUCGGCCACAUUGGGACUGAGACACGGCCCAAACUCCUACGGGAGGCAGCAGUAGGGAAUCUUCGGCAAUGGACGAAAGUCUGACCGAGCAACGCCGCGUGAGUGAAGAAGGUUUUCGGAUCGUAAAACUCUGUUGGUAGAGAAGAACGUUGGUGAGAGUGGAAAGCUCAUCAAGUGACGGUAACUACACAGAAAGGGACGGCUAACUACGUG